rnacentral:rRNA from 1 species
UACGUAGGUGGCAAGCGUUGUCCGGAUUUACUGGGCGUAAAGGGAGCGUAGGCGGAUUUUUAAGUGAGAUGUGAAAUACCCGGGCUUAACUUGUGUGCUGCAUUUCAAACUGGAAGUCUAGAGUGCAGGAGAGGAGAAGGGAAUUCCUAGUGUAGCGGUGAAAUGCGUAGAGAUUAGGAAGAACACCAGUGGCGAAGGCGAUUCUCUGGACUGUAACUGACACUGAGGCACGAAAGCGUGGGGAGCAAACAGGAUUAGAUACCCGUGUA